rnacentral:rRNA from 1 species
UACGAAGGGUGCUAGCCUUGUUCGGAAUCACUGGGCGUAAAGCGUGCGUAGGCGGCUUAACAAGUCAGGGGUGAAAUGCCAAGGCUUAACCUUGGAACUGCCUUUGAAACUGUUAAGCUGGAGUGUCGGAGGGGAUAGCGGAAUUUCUAAUGUAGCGGUGAAAUGCGUAGAUAUUAGAAGGAACACCGGUGGCGAAGGCGGCUAUCUGGACGACAACUGACGCUGAGGCACGAAAGCGUGGGGAUCAAACAGG